UGGGGAAUCUUGGACAAUGGGGGCAACCCUGAUCCAGCCAUGCCGCGUGAGUGAUGAAGGCCUUAGGGUCGUAAAGCUCUUUCGCCUGUGAAGAUAAUGACGGUAGCAGGUAAAGAAACCCCGGCUAACUCCGUGCCAGCAGCCGCGGUAAUACGGAGGGGGUUAGCGUUGUUCGGAAUUACUGGGCGUAAAGCGCACGUAGGCGGACCAGAAAGUUGGGGGUGAAAUCCCGGGGCUCAACCCAGGAAUUGCCUUUGAUACUGUUAGACUAGAGUUCGGGAGAGGAUAGUGGAAUUCCCAGUGUAGAGGUGAAAUUCGUAGAUAUUUGGAGGAACACCAGUGGCGAAGGCGGCUCACUGGCUCGAUACUGACGCUGAGGUGCGAAAGUGUGGGGAGCAAACAGGAUUAGAUACCCUGGUAGUCCACACCGUAAACGAUGAAUGCCAGUCGUCGGGUAGC
rnacentral:rRNA from 1 species